rnacentral:tRNA from 1 species
GAGGGUGUAGCUCAGUGGUAGAGCAUGUACUUAGCGUGCAUGAGGUCCUGGGUUCAAUCCCCAGUACUUCCG